ACCGAUGAUGAAGGCCCUGUUCCGAGCGUUGAUGACACGGGCGUGGAUCUGAGG
rnacentral:sRNA from 1 species